CGAUUGAGUUUGAUCAUGGCUCAGGAUGAACGCUGGCGGCGUGCCUAAUACAUGCAAGUCGAGCGCAACUUCUUAUACCGAACCUUCGGGUUCACUUUAAGGGUUGAGCGGCGGACGGGUGAGUAACACGUAGGCAACCUACCCUUAAGACUGGGAUAACUACGGGAAACCGUAGCUAAUACCGGAUAAUACCUAUACUCAAAAGAGUAAAGAUUGAAAGAUGGAUUUUCUAUCACUUAAGGAUGGGCCUGCGGCGCAUUAGCUAGUUGGUGAGGUAGUAGCUCACCAAGGCGACGAUGCGUAGCCGACCUGAGAGGGUGAUCGGCCACACUGGGACUGAGACACGGCCCAGACUCCUACGGGAGGCAGCAGUAGGGAAUCUUCCGCAAUGGACGAAAGUCUGACGGAGCAACGCCGCGUGUGUGAUGAAGGAUUUCGGUUCGUAAAGCACUGUUGUUAAGGAAGAAUAGUAGUAAGAGUAACUGUUUACUAAUUGACGGUACUUAACCAGAAAGCCACGGCUAACUACGUGCCAGCAGCCGCGGUAAUACGUAGGUGGCAAGCGUUAUCCGGAAUUAUUGGGCGUAAAGCGCGCGUAGGCGGCAAGAUUAGUCUGAUGUGAAAGCCCCCGGCUCAACCGGGGAGGGUCAUUGGAAACUGUCUUGCUUGAGUGCAGAAGAGGAGAGUGGAAUUCCAUGUGUAGCGGUGAAAUGCGCAGAGAUAUGGAGGAACACCAGUGGCGAAGGCGGCUCUCUGGUCUGCAACUGACGCUGAUGUGCGAAAGCGUGGGGGAUCAAACAGGAUUAGAUACCCUGGUAGUCCACGCCGUAAACGAUGAGUGCUAAGUGUU
rnacentral:rRNA from 1 species